rnacentral:rRNA from 1 species
UACGGGGGGGGCAAGCGUUGUUCGGAAUUACUGGGCGUAAAGGGCUCGUAGGCGGCCAACUAAGUCAGACGUGAAAUCCCUCGGCUUAACCGGGGAACUGCGUCUGAUACUGGAUGGCUUGAGUUUGGGAGAGGGAUGCGGAAUUCCAGGUGUAGCGGUGAAAUGCGUAGAUAUCUGGAGGAACACCGGUGGCGAAGGCGGCAUCCUGGACCGACACUGACGCUGAGGAGCGAAAGCGUGGGGAGCGAACAGG